rnacentral:rRNA from 1 species
GACGAACGCUGGCGGCGUGCUUAACAUAUGCAAGUCGAACGGAAAGGCCCUGCUUUUGUGGGGUGCUCGAGUGGCGAACGGGUGAGUAACACGUGAGUAACCUGCCCUUGACUUUGGGAUAACUUCAGGAAACUGGGGCUAAUACCGGAUAGGAGCUCCUGCUGCAUGGUGGGGGUUGGAAAGUUUCGGCGGUUGGGGAUGGACUCGCGGCUUAUCAACUUGUUGGUGGGGUAGUGGCUUACCAAGGCUUUGACGGGUAGCCGGCCUGAGAGGGUGACCGGCCACAUUGGGACUGAGAUACGGCCCAGACUCCUACGGGAGGCAGCAGUGGGGAAUAUUGCACAAUGGGCGGAAGCCUGAUGCAGCAACGCCGCGUGCGGGAUGACGGCCUUCGGGUUGUAAACCGCUUUCGCCUGUGACGAAGCGUGAGUGACGGUAAUGGGUAAAGAAGCACCGGCUAACUACGUG